rnacentral:lncRNA from 1 species
AGCCACACACCCAACUGUCCUUUUCGUUGCAGGAGCUCUCCCACCUGGAGGCAGCCGGGGGGCGGGUCAGGGCCCCCCCAACCCCGGAAUGACCGCGGCCAGCCGGGCCAACCCCUACAGCAUCGUGUCGUCGGAGGAGGACGGUCUGCACCUGGUCACCAUGUCGGGCGCCAAUGGCUUCGGCAACGGCAAGGUCCACACGCGGCGCCGGUGCCGCAACCGCUUUGUCAAGAAGAACGGCCAGUGCAACAUUGAGUUCGCCAACAUGGACGAGAAGUCGCAGCGCUACCUGGCGGACAUGUUCACCACCUGCGUGGACAUCCGCUGGCGCUACAUGCUCCUCAUCUUCUCGCUGGCCUUCCUGGCUUCCUGGCUGCUCUUUGGCGUCAUCUUCUGGGUCAUCGCCGUGGCCCACGGCGACCUGGAGCCGGCCGAGGGCCGUGGGCGCACCCCGUGCGUGCUGCAGGUGCACGGCUUCAUGGCGGCCUUCCUCUUCUCCAUCGAGACGCAGACCACCAUCGGCUAUGGGCUGCGCUGUGUGACUGAGGAGUGCCCCGUGGCCGUCUUCAUGGUGGUAGCCCAGUCCAUCGUGGGCUGCAUCAUCGACUCCUUCAUGAUCGGCGCCAUCAUGGCCAAGAUGGCACGUCCCAAGAAGCGGGCGCAGACGCUGCUGUUCAGCCACAAUGCCGUGGUGGCCCUGCGCGACGGCAAGCUCUGCCUCAUGUGGCGGGUGGGCAACCUGCGCAAGAGUCACAUCGUGGAGGCCCACGUGCGGGCGCAGCUCAUUAAGCCCAGGGUCACAGAGGAGGGUGAGUACAUCCCGCUGGAUCAGAUUGACAUCGAUGUGGGCUUCGACAAGGGCCUGGACCGUAUCUUCCUGGUGUCACCCAUCACCAUCCUGCACGAGAUCGACGAGGCCAGCCCGCUGUUCGGCAUCAGCCGGCAGGACUUGGAGACCGACGACUUUGAGAUCGUGGUCAUUCUGGAGGGCAUGGUGGAGGCCACGGCCAUGACCACGCAGGCCCGCAGCUCCUACCUGGCCAACGAGAUCCUGUGGGGCCACCGCUUUGAGCCAGUGCUCUUUGAGGAGAAGAAUCAGUAUAAGAUUGACUACUCCCACUUCCAUAAGACCUACGAGGUGCCCUCCACACCCCGCUGUAGUGCCAAGGAGCUGGUGGAGAACAAGUUCCUCUUGCCCAGCGCCAACUCCUUCUGCUAUGAGAAUGAGCUGGCCUUCCUGAGCCGGGAUGAGGAGGACGAGGCGGACGGAGACCAGGAUGGCCGCAGUCGAGAUGGCCUCAGCCCCCAGCCCCGGCAUGACUUUGACAGGCUCCAGCCCGGCGGUGGUGGUGCCCUUGAACAGCGGCCGUACAGAAGGGAGUCAGAGAUCUGAGCCACUUUGGGCCUAGGUGCAGCACCCACCCACCCCGCCAGGGAGAGGCCUGGCGUCCUUGGAGGGCUCUGGGUUUUGAGCAGAAUGGGCCAGGUGCCCCGGGUUGCAGACUCAGUAGUGUUUUAGUUGUUUUAUGUUUCUUCGCAAUAGUCUUGGAAGGUUGGCGGGAGAGUGGGCGGCCAGAUUGGGCAGCCCCCAGCCUCAGAGGCUGACCAGGCACAGACAGGGCAGGGAGGUGGUCUCCUGCGGUGGGGGGUGGGGAGGGCCCGGCCAUAAGAGCCAGGUCCUCUGCCUGAAGAUGGAGCUGGGUAGCCUGCCUAGAAGUGGCUCAGCAGUGGGCCCCGCCUCUGUGGUCAAAGGCCGGCAGGCUGCAGUGCACCUUGCUGGUUUUUAACUUGGGGAGAAACACCGGAUUUUGGCUUUCUCGAUCUUAGCUUGAGUAAGACUGUU